GAUGAACGCUAGCGGCAGGCUUAAUACAUGCAAGUCAAGGGGGUAGCAAUACAACCGGCGCACGGGUGAGUAACGCGUACACAACAUACCAUAUACUGGAGUAUAGCUUCGGGAAACUGAAGGUAAUCCUCCAUAACAUUGCGAGAAGGCAUCUAAUUGCAAUUAAAGUUUCGACGGUAUAUGAUUGGUGUGCGUUUGAUUAGCUAGUUGGUAGGGUAACGGCCUACCAAGGCGACGAUCAAUAGCUGGCGUGAGAGCGCGACCAGCCACACUGGAACUGAGACACGGUCCAGACUCCUACGGGAGGCAGCAGUAGGGAAUAUUGGAC
rnacentral:rRNA from 1 species